rnacentral:rRNA from 1 species
AGAUUGAACGCUGGCGGCAUGCCUUACACAUGCAAGUCGAACGGCAGCACGGGAGCAAUCCUGGUGGCGAGUGGCGAACGGGUGAGUAAUACAUCGGAACGUGCCCAAUCGUGGGAGAUAACUACGCGAAAGCGUAGCUAAUACCGCAUACGAUCUACGGAUGAAAGCAGGGGAUCGCAAGACCUUGCGACGAAUGGAGCGGCCGAUGGCAGAUUAGGUAGUUGG